UGAGUAUGAAAGAUGAUCGCGAGUGCCAAAGGGCAUUUGAGGAAAGUCCGGGCUCCGCAGGGCAGGAUGCUGGAUAACGUCCAGCGAGGGUGACCUUAGGGAAAGUGCUAUAGAAAAGAAGACCGCCCAGUUUUCUGGGUAAGGGUGGAACGGUGCGGUAAGAGCGCACCAGCAGUUAGGUGACUAGCUGGCUUGGUAAACCCCAUCUGGAGCAAGACCGAAUAGGGAAGGGAUGAAGUUGCCCGCUGAUCCUUCCGGGUUGCGUCGCUUGAAUUAUCAGGUAACUGAUAAUCUAGAUAAAUGAUCAUCACCAUAAUGGUACAGAACUCGGCUUAUUGACUACUCAAUAA
rnacentral:RNase_P_RNA from 1 species